UACUCAUUGGUGUAAUGGCAGCAUCCUAGUCUCCAAAACUAAUGGUGGCGGUUCAAGUCCGUCAUGAGUAG
rnacentral:tRNA from 1 species